ensembl:lncRNA
UUGUACUGUUACUCAGAUUCGUUGAUGAAGGUCUACUAUCAGUUUUUAAGGUGCUGAGCUGUGAGGAGAGUAUCAGGGUUUAGGCUCUGCUGCCUUUCCCCGAAGAACUCACUUGGGAAGCAGUCAGAUUAGAAGAUAAUUCUGGAACAAAUGCCUGCCACUCUUUAAUUACAAAAAUGACAAAUGAUCUGUAUCACCACAUAUGCC